ensembl:lncRNA
GGAGAAAGUGUCUGAGGGAAGAAAGAAAAAAGAGAAAGUAGAGUAAGAGCUCCAUCAUAGUCAGGGUCACUGUGGAUCCAGAUCCUGGGAACACUGGGUACAAAAUGCUCUCUGUGGAAGUGACGGUCAAUUGGUAGGGCACUGACCAGCUGUUCUUGUGGUUUGUGCAGCAUAAAUCGGGGCUAAGGAUACAGACAGGAGCUGACGGGCCCCAGGGUAUGGAGGCUAGCGGUCUUCGUUCAUUGGUGGUGGGAGUUUCCUUGCUGUUGUGUUCUUGUUGCUGCAUCAACGCGGUCAACAUCAUCAACAUCAUCGCGAUGUGAGUGUGGUUGUGUGGUCUGGAGUGGUGUUCGGGGACCCAUUAAAUCGUCAGCCAGCCUACCCGGCUUCUGUUCCAGCAGGAUUCCCCCUGUGAGGCAGCAGUGUGUCUGACGUAACCAAGUGCCUAGCGUUGAUCAAAAGCAGUGUGAG